GGAUAGCUCAAACGGUAGACCACAAGACUCUUGAUCUCAAGGUCAUGGGUUUGAGUCCCAUAUUGGACA